UCCUGCCCUCCAGCGCCUAUUGACGCACGCCCUAGAUCAGAUCCCGCCGACGACUGCCCCUCCUCAGCGUCCUCCCGCCGCCCCUCUCCUUCGAUCUGAUCUCCUUGGCGUCCCGCCGUCGCCGGCGACCCCUUGGCGCCUCGCCGUCGCUGUCACAUCAGACGCCGGCCACUCCUCCGCGGCCUCACGUUGUCGUCCUCUCCUUCGCAAGGAACACCCGACCCUUCCUCCGCGGCCUUGUGACGCCGACCACUCCUUCGUGGCCUCACGCCGCCCUCCUCUCCCUCCUUCCUUCGUCCAAGGCCAUGACUUCCCCUCCCUGACGCGAUCUGACGGAGAGAGGGCCAAGCCUUGCCACUCCGGUGGUCACUUUGGACAAAUCCGGUCGGGGAAGCCACCGUAGAGCCUCAACGUCGGCGCAGCAGCAGCAGCAGUCCUUGCGACGGUGAGUGCCGGAGCUCGUCAAGCAACUCGCCGUCGGCGGCCACGACCACCUCAUUCCCUGCCGUGCGUCUCCGUCAACUACUAUGGCAUUGACGCCAGCGAGCUAGGAGCCUACGAGGUAGACGCCCUACUGACUGUGUGGUCAAGGCCUCCACAUGGCUCCUCUUGCGGCAGACUGCUGGUUGUUUUUCAUGUCCUUGAUCACCAUAAUUUAAUCCAAGUCAGGUUUUUGGGAUGAAUUGAUGACAAGGAGAGCACGUUGGAAAUAGUAGAAGUGGAGACGGGAGAGGAUGAUGGGAACGAUCAAGUACAUCACAAUCAUCGGCAUCAUGUGGCUCUCCUACACCAACGCAAUUCAGGUUUGAUAAUUGCUGAGGGUGGGUGCCAUGGUCGUCUAUGCUGGGCUUCUGCACGAUCACAUCUUCCACAUGUUCGGUGCUGGAGUGGCUGAUCUUGUGGAAGGGUUACGUUUUCCUCUUCUCGUGGAUUUUGACCAUUGUUUUAGAGGGAUUCGGAUAAUG